CCCUUAGAUGUUCUGGGCCGCACGCGCGCUACACUGAUGAACGCAACGAGACGACCUGUACCGAAAGGCAUGGGUAAACUUGUGAAAGUUCAUCGUGAUGGGGAUAGAUUAUUGCAAUUAUUAAUCUUCAACGAGGAAUUCCUAGUAAGCGCGAGUCAUCAGCUCGCGUUGAUUACGUCCCUGCCCUUUGUACACACCGCCCGUCACUCCUACCGAUUGAAUGGUCCGGUGAAAUCUUCGGAUUGCUGGAUAGGAGGGCAACCACCUAUCUGCGAGAAGUUGCUUGAACCUUAUCAUUUAGAGGAAGGAGAAGUCGUAACA
rnacentral:rRNA from 1 species